rnacentral:lncRNA from 1 species
GGGGCUUCUUAGCCUUCACUUGGGUCUUGAGUAAUUGAAAGACACAACAAUCAAGUUAUACACUAUGUCUCAAGCUCUUUGUUUCACCAUUAUUCCAAAGUGUUUAUAAGUUUCUAAAAUAAAACUUAGAGAUUCCAUUGUAUGACACUCUCAAGUCUCUUAAUAUAUGUGGUAUUUGCGGAUCAUCACCUAGGCAAUAGAGAUGUUAUGCCUUUUUCUCUACCUACCACUAAGGCUUAUGUGGAGUUUAUAGGUAGGGAUAAAGCUAGAGCCUACUUGCAAUGCAUA